rnacentral:sRNA from 1 species
UUAUAGCCCCGAUGGAAGCGGCAUCCCCCGGCGACGCGGCAGCGGAGACGGGGAUACAGCGGACAGCGGGUACGGUU